rnacentral:rRNA from 1 species
UACGGGGGGGGCAAGCGUUGUUCGGAAUUACUGGGCGUAAAGGGCUCGUAGGUGGCCAACUAAGUCCGACGUGAAAUCCCUCGGCUUAACCGGGGAACUGCGUCUGAUACUGGAUGGCUUGAGUUCGGGAGAGGGAUGCGGAAUUCCAGGUGUAGCGGUGAAAUGCGUAGAUAUCUGGAGGAACACCGGUGGCGAAGGCGGCAUCCUGGACCGACACUGACGCUGAGGAGCGAAAGCCAGGGGAGCAAACGGG